UACAGAGGAUGCAAGCGUUAUCCGGAAUGAUUGGGCGUAAAGCGUCUGUAGGUGGCUUUUUAAGUCCGCCGUCAAAUCCCAGGGCUCAACUCUGGACAGGCGGUGGAAACUACCAAGCUGGAGUACGGUAGGGGCAGAGGGAAUUUCCGGUGGAGCGGUGAAAUGCGUAGAGAUCGGAAAGAACACCAACGGCGAAGGCGGCCUUCUGGACCAGUACUGACGCUCAUGCACGAAAGCGUGGGGAGCAAACAGG
rnacentral:rRNA from 1 species